UACGUAGGGGGCAAGCGUUGUCCGGAUUUAUUGGGCGUAAAGAGCGUGUAGGCGGCCAAGCAGGUCCGCUGUGAAAACUCGAGGCUCAACCUCGAGACGCCGGUGGAAACCGUAAAGCUAGAGUCCGGAAGAGGAGAGUGGAAUUCCUGGUGUAGCGGUGAAAUGCGCAGAUAUCAGGAAGAACACCCGUGGCGAAGGCGGCUCUCUGGGACGGUACUGACGCUGAGACGCGAAAGCGUGGGGAGCGAACAGG
rnacentral:rRNA from 1 species